rnacentral:lncRNA from 1 species
UUACAAAUUUUACACAUUAUGUGUUUACUCCUCCUCGGCUUAUAUCACUAUUGAUAAAUCCCUCUCUGUCAGUUGACCAAUCAAAUCUGUCUAUUGUUAGAACUAAAGCGAAAAAGGUCUAAUUCGUCGGAUAUGAAAAUACCAAAAAAAUCGAAGAAGAAAAAAAGAGAAAUAAAACACACAAUAUUUACAUGAUUCGACCACAGUCUUACGUCCACGGGCGAAGACGGAACGGAGAUCUUCAUUAUAAUAAAGUGGUGUACAAAAUAUGUCACUCUCACAAAAUCUUAAUUUUAAAAAUACACUCAUACUCUCUCAUCUGCCGUACCAAAUCAAUGGUAUAAAGGGUACAAUUCUAAUAGUGGUUAAAUCUUAAUAUGAUUAGAAAUGCAAAUUCACUAAGAUUAGAAAUAUCGUAAUUAGAUUAUAUGUAAUCUAAA